AUUGAACACUGGCGGCAGGCUUAACACAUGCAAGUCGAGCGGGGUGAUGGUGCUUGCACUAUCACUUAGCGGCGGACGGGUGAGUAAUGCUUAGGAAUCUGCCUAUUAGUGGGGGACAACAUCUCGAAAGGGAUGCUAAUACCGCAUACGUCCUACGGGAGAAAGCAGGGGAUCACUUGUGACCUUGCGCUAAUAGAUGAGCCUAAGUCGGAUUAGCUAGUUGGUGGGGUAAAGGCCUACCAAGGCGACGAUCUGUAGCGGGUCGGAGAGGAUGAGCCGCCACACUGGGACAGAGACACGGCCCAGACUCCUACGGGAGGCAGCAGUGGGGAAUAUUGGACAAUGGGGGGAACCCUGAUCCAGCCAUGCCGCGUGUGUGAAGAAGGCCUUAUGGUUGUAAAGCACUUUAAGCGAGGAGGAGGCUCUUUUGGUUAAUACCCAAGAUGAGUGGACGUUACUCGCAGAAUAAGCACCGGCUAACUCUGUGCCAGCAGCCGCGGUAA
rnacentral:rRNA from 1 species